rnacentral:rRNA from 1 species
AGAGUUUGAUCCUGGCUCAGAACGAACGUUGGCGGCGUGCUUAACACAUGCAAGUCGAACGAGAAAGGUUCCUUCGGGAGCUGAGUAAAGUGGCGCACGGGUGAGUAACGCGUAGAUAACCUGUCCAGGUGUUCGGGAUAGCCCUUCGAAAGGGGGAUUAAUACCGGAUACGUUAGUAUGUCAUAAGGCAUAUUAAGAAAGGUGGCCUCUAUUUAUAAGCUAUCGCAUUUGGAGGGGUCUGCGUACCAUUAGCUAGUUGGUGGGAUAAUGGCCUACCAAGGCAUCGAUGGUUAGCGGGUCUGAGAGGAUGAUCCGUCACACUGGCACUGAAACACGGGCCAGACUCCUACGGGAGGCAGCAGUGAGGAAUAUUGCGCAAUGGGGGAAACCCUGACGCAGCGACGCCGCGUGAGUGAGGAAGGCCUUCGGGUCGUAAAGCUCUGUCAGAAGGGAAGAAAUGUAUAUGAGUUAAUACCUUGUAUGCUUGACGGUACCUUCAAAGGAAGCACCGGCUAACUCCGUGCCAGCAGCCGCGGUAAUACGGAGGGUGCAAACGUUGUUCGGAAUCACUGGGCGUAAAGGGCGCGCAGGCGGUUUGAUUAGUCAGACGUGAAAGCCCACGGCUUAACCGUGGAAGUGCAUUUGAAACUGUCAGACUUGAGUACCAGAGGGGGUAGUGGAAUUCCCGGUGUAGAGGUGAAAUUCGUAGAU